rnacentral:tRNA from 1 species
UCUAGAAUAUUUCAGCUGGUAAAGAGUCUGCCUGCAAUGCAGGAAACCCAGGUUCAAUUCCUGUGUUGGGA